AUUAUACGCUGCUUUCAUUUACUUUCAUUAUUACUAACGUUAAUGUUUUGUUUAAUACUACUAUACUUUGCACAUUUGCGACUAAUAAAGCUUAAAAAUUGCAUAUUCAUUUGGCGGGGUACGCCUUGGCAAUGAUAGCUCAAACAAAUUCCACAUAUUUUGAUAUUUCAGUUCAAACUUUUUGAUAGAUUAGACAAUAAGAAAUAUAUC